rnacentral:rRNA from 1 species
AUGCUUGAUCUCAAUGAGUUGCCUCCUGAUCUCAAUGAGCUUCCUCAUGAUACGGAUCAGCAGCAACCCAGCAUGCAACAAGGAAAAUGGACAGAAAAUGGUCGAUCUGUUUACUACACGCAGGCAAGUCAUGAUGGUAACCCUAUGGGCCAUGACAAUGUGGCAGGCCAGUCAUCAGACCGUGGUGCCCCUGUAGUGGUGUCUUUGCAGUCAGAGAGCCAUGCUCUAGAUGACACGGGAACCGAGGCAAAUGUUCCUGGUCCAACCAGGACUGAGCUAGGAGCUGGGGCUGUUGACGGAGCUGUCCAAGGAGAAGAAGGAGAGGAUGAGGCUGGUUCUCAACCUAUGGAACCCUAUGUUGGCAUGAGGUUUGACAACCUUCAAAUUGCUAAGGAUCACUACAACAGCUACGCACUACGGAUGGGUUUCUCUAUCAAGAUGAACACAUCUAGAUGGACACCCUGCACCAAUGAAUUGAUAAAACAACAGUUUUGCUGCAACAAGUUCAAGAAGCCCAAAGCUGAUGAUGGAGGAGCCGAGGCUCCUCCUAUCCUGGACCCUAUUCCAGAUCCAAAAUCUGUUGACAGUGAUGAGGAGAUGGAAGUAGAACCUCCAAUAUUUGCUGAAGAGGAGGCUGGUACUAGUAAGAAGAAGAAGAAGCGCAAACGCGAGAUAAUAAAGCAGACUCAGUGCAAAGUGAAAAUGUUGGUGAAGCUGAUAGAUGGGCGAUGCAAGGUGACGCACUUUGUUCGUGACCACAGUCAUCCGCUCGUGAACAAACCUUCAUUAUCCAAAUACUUGAGAUCCCACCAAGGCAUCUCACCUGAUGAAAAGGAGUUUCUGCGCAUCUUGUAUAACUGCAACUUGACUACAUGUGUGGUGUUUUUCUAUAUCCCUUAA